UACAUGAGUGGCGAGCGUUAUCCGUAAUUAUUGGGCGUAAAGGAUACGUAGGCGGUAAAAGUAGUUAUAAUUUACUAUAACAGAUAGCUGGGUCUUUUAUAAAACCUUUUUACUAGAGUUUUUCUAUAAGUACAUGUACGGUGUAAAUUAGCGAUAAAAUGCUUUGAGUUUACACUUCUCUUCAAAUGCGAAAGCAAUGUACUGAUUAAAACUGACGCUGAGGUAUUAAAGUAUGGGAAUCAACUAGGAUUAGACACCCUAUUAGUCUAUACUAUAAACUAUGAGUAUCAAGAUUAAAUAUCAAAGCUAACGCUUAAAAUACUCCGCCUGGGCAGUAUAGUCGCAAGGUCGAAACUUAACAGAAUUGGCGGGAAUUUGAUCGAACGGUGGAACAUGUGGUUUAAUACGAUAAUCCGCGCAAAAUCUUACCAAGGUUGUUAAAGUUAGUAGAUAUCCGCUAAUCCGGAUUUUUCAUUUAGGCUUUAACAAGGUACUGCAUGGCUGUCGUCAGUUCGUGCUUUGAGGCAUGGAAUUAAGUUUUAUAACGAACGAAACCCCCUUAAUUAGUAUCAAAAUAAUCUAAAAAUUUGAUAAUAAACAAUUAUGUUUAUUAAUUUUUGAGGUUAUUUUUUCUAAUUUUACGAUCUAUUCCCGUAAAUAGAUGGAGGAAAGGGCUGAAGUCAAGUCAUUAUGGUCUAUGUAUCUUGGGCUACACACGUGUUACAAAGGUAGAAACAAAGAGUAGCUAAAAAGUAAUUUAGAGCAAAUCUCCAAAAACUAUCUUAAUUCAGAUUGUCCCCUGAAACUCGGAGACAUGAAGUUGAAAUCGUUAGUAAUCGUAGAUUAGUACGCUACGGUGAAUGAAAAACCAAAUUCUGCACACACCGCCCAUCACGCUCUGAGAAUUAAAACGUUUCGAAGAAUCUUAUCUCUUCGAUUUUUGAAGUGGUUCAGUGUGGUUUAAUAUUUAUAAAAAAGAAAAAACUAAACUUUUUUGAUUUAUUUUCAAAAAAUGCUAUGACGACCGGAUUACUAGAGCGGUUUGAUUAUUUGAGUGAAGUUG
rnacentral:rRNA from 1 species